rnacentral:rRNA from 1 species
UACAGAGGUGGCAAGCGUUGUCCGGAAUCAUUGGGCGUAAAGAGCGUGUAGGCGGCCCGGUAAGUCCGCUGUGAAAGUCCAGGGCUCAACCCUGGGAUGCCGGUGGAUACUGUCGGGCUCGAGUCCGGAAGAGGAGUGUGGAAUUCCUGGUGUAGCGGUGAAAUGCGCAGAUAUCAGGAGGAACACCAAUGGCGAAGGCAGCACUCUGGGACGUGACUGACGCUGAGACGCGAAAGCGUGGGGAGCAAACAGG